rnacentral:rRNA from 1 species
UACGUAGGGUGCAGGCGUUAAUCGGAAUUACUGGGCGUAAAGCGUGCGCAGGCGGUUUGCUAAGACAGGUGUGAAAUCCCCGGGCUUAACCUGGGAACUGCGCUUGUUACUGGCAAGCUUGAGUGUGGCAGAGGGGGGUGGAAUUCCACGUGUAGCAGUGAAAUGCGUAGAGAUGUGGAGGAACACCGAUGGCGAAGGCAGCGCCCUGGGCCAAUACUGACGCUCAUGCACGAAAGCGUGGGGAGCAAGCAGG